GCCUGGGUGGCUCAGUCGGUUAAGCGGCCGACUUCGUUCGGCUCAGGUCACGAUCCCGCGGUCCGUGGGUUCGAGCCCCGCAUCAGGCU
rnacentral:tRNA from 1 species